rnacentral:rRNA from 1 species
UACGAAGGGGGCUAGCGUUGUUCGGAUUUACUAGGCGUAAAGCGCACGUAGGCGGAUCGAUCAGUCAGGGGUGAAAUCCCAGAGCUCAACUCUGGAACUGCCUUUGAUACUGUCGAUCUGGAGUAUGGAAGAGGUGAGUGGAAUUCCGAGUGUAGAGGUGAAAUUCGUAGAUAUUCGGAGGAACACCAGUGGCGAAGGCGGCUCACUGGUCCAUUACUGACGCUGAGGUGCGAAAGCGUGGGGAGCAAACAGG